GAGGAAGCCCGGUGCAAAUCCGGCGCGGUCCCGCCACUGUGAGCCCGGCCACCGCCGGGCGAGCCAGGAACUC
rnacentral:sRNA from 22 species